rnacentral:rRNA from 1 species
AUUGAACGCUGGCGGCAGGCCUAACACAUGCAAGUCGAACGGUAACAGGAAGCAGCUUGCUGCUUCGCUGACGAGUGGCGGACGGGUGAGUAAUGUCUGGGAAGCUGCCUGAUGGAGGGGGAUAACUACUGGAAACGGUAGCUACUACCGCAUAAUGUCGCAAGACCAAAGAGGGGGACCUUCGGGCCUCUUGCCAUCGGAUGUGCCCAGAUGGGGUUAGCUUGUUGGUGGGGUAACGGCUCACCAAGGCGACGAUCCCUAGCUGGUCUGAGAGGAUGACCAGCCACACUGGAACUGAGCCGCGGUCCAGACUCCUGCGGGAGGCAGCAGUGGGGAAUAUUGCACAAUGGGAGCAAGCCUGAUGCAGCCAUGCCGAGUGGAUGAAGAAGGCCUUCGGGUUGUAAAGUACUUUCAGCGGGGAGGAAGGGAGUAAAGUUAAUACCGUUGCUCAUUGACGUUACCCGCAGAAGAAGCACCGGCUAACUCCGUG